rnacentral:rRNA from 1 species
GUGAGUAACACGUGGGCAAUCUGCCCUGCACUCUGGGACAAGCCCUGGAAACGGGGUCUAAUACCGGAUACUGACCCUCACGGGCAUCUGUGAGGUUCGAAAGCUCCGGCGGUGCAGGAUGAGCCCGCGGCCUAUCAGCUUGUUGGUGAGGUAAUGGCUCACCAAGGCGACGACGGGUAGCCGGCCUGAGAGGGCGACCGGCCACACUGGGACUGAGACACGGCCCAGACUCCUACGGGAGGCAGCAGUGGGGAAUAUUGCACAAUGGGCGAAAGCCUGAUGCAGCGACGCCGCGUGAGGGAUGACGGCCUUCGGGUUGUAAACCUCUUUCAGCAGGGAAGAAGCGAAAGUGACGGUACCUGCAGAAGAAGCGCCGGCUAACUACGUGCCAGCAGCCGCGGUAAUACGUAGGGCGCGAGCGUUGUCCGGAAUUAUUGGGCGUAAAGAGCUCGUAGGCGGCUUGUCACGUCGGUUGUGAAAGCCCGGGGCUUAACCCCGGGUCUGCAGUCGAUACGGGCAGGCUAGAGUUCGGUAGGGGAGAUCGGAAUUCCUGGUGUAGCGGUGAAAUGCGCAGAUAUCAGGAGGAACACCGGUGGCGAAGGCGGAUCUCUGGGCCGAUACUGACGCUGAGGAGCGAAAGCGUGGGGAGCGAACAGGAUUAGAUACCCUGGUAGUCCACGCCGUAAACGGUGGGCACUAGGUGUGGGCAACAUUCCACGUUGUCCGUGCCGCAGCUAACGCAUUAAGUGCCCCGCCUGGGGGAGUACGGCCGCAAGGCUAAAACUCAAAGGAAUUGACGGGGGCCCGCACAAGCGGCGGAGCAUGUGGCUUAAUUCGACGCAACGCGAAGAACCUUACCAAGGCUUGACAUACACCGGAAACGUUUAAGAGAUGGCGCCCCCCUUGUGGUCGGUGUACAGGGGGGUGCAUGGCUGUCGUCAGCUCGUGUCGUGAAAAUGUUGGGGUUAAGUCCCGCAACGAGCGCAACCUUUGUCCCGUGUUGCAGCAGGCCCUUGGUGGUGCUGGGGACUCACGGGAGACCGCGGGGUCAAUUCGGAAGGAAGGUGGGGGACGACGUCAAGUCAUCAUGCCCCUUAUGUCUUGGGCUGCACACGUGCUACAAUGGGCCGGUACAAUGAGCUGCGAUACCCGCGAGGGUGGAACGAAUCUCAAAAGGCCGUCUCCAAUUUUGGGAUUGGGUGUUGCAACUCCCCCCCCUGAAGUCGGAAUCCCUAUGAAUCCGAAACAACCAUUUGUUGCGGUGAGAAACUUUCCCGGGCCUUUGUAACCCCCGCGCCUCAGUUAC